UACGGGAGGCAGCAGUGGGGAAUAUUGCACAAUGGGCGCAAGCCUGAUGCAGCCAUGCCGCGUGUAUGAAGAAGGCCUUCAGGUUGUAAAGUACUUUCAGUCGUGAGGAAGGUGUUAAGGUUAAUAACCUUAGCAAUUGACGUUAGCGACAGAAGAAGCACCGGCUAACUCCGUGCCAGCAGCCGCGGUAAUACGGAGGGUGCGAGCGUUAAUCGGAAUUACUGGGCGUAAAGGGCACGCAGGCGGUUAAUUAAGUUGGAUGUGAAAUCCCCGGGCUUAACCUGGGAAUGGCAUUCAAGACUGGUUAGCUAGAGUCUUGUAGAGGGGGUAGAAUUCCAUGUGUAGCGGUGAAAUGCGUAGAGAUGUGGAGGAAUACCGGUGGCGAAGGCGGCCCCUGGGACAAAGACUGACGCUCAUGUGCGAAAGCGUGGGGAGCAAACAGGAUUAGAUACC
rnacentral:rRNA from 1 species